rnacentral:rRNA from 1 species
AUGAACGCUGGCGGCGUGCUUAACACAUGCAAGUCGAACGAUGAAGCCCAGCUUGCUGGGUGGAUUAGUGGCGAACGGGUGAGUAACACGUGAGUAACCUGCCCUUAACUCUGGGAUAAGCCUGGGAAACUGGGUCUAAUACCGGAUAGGAGCGCCUACCGCAUGGUGGGUGUUGGAAAGAUUUAUCGGUUUUGGAUGGACUCGCGGCCUAUCAGCUUGUUGGUGAGGUAAUGGCUCACCAAGGCGACGACGGGUAGCCGGCCUGAGAGGGUGACCGGCCACACUGGGACUGAGACACGGCCCAGACUCCUACGGGAGGCAGCAGUGGGGAAUAUUGCACAAUGGGCGAAAGCCUGAUGCAGCGACGCCGCGUGGGGGAUGACGGCCUUCGGGUUGUAAACCUCUUUCAGUAGGGAAGAAGCGAAAGUGACGGUACCUGCAGAAGAAGCACCGGCUAACUACGUG